AUUGAACGCUGGCGGCAUGCUUUACACAUGCAAGUCGAACGGUAACAGGCCUUCGGGUGCUGACGAGUGGCGAACGGGUGAGUAAUGCAUCGGAACGUACCCAGAGGUGGGGGAUAACGCAGCGAAAGCUGUGCUAAUACCGCAUGUGAUCUGAGGAUGACAGCGGGGGACCGAGCAGCAAUGUUUGGCCUCGCGCCUUUGGAGCGGCCGAUGUCGGAUUAGCUAGUUGGUGGGGUAAAGGCCUACCAAGGCGACGAUCCGUAGCUGGUCUGAGAGGACGAACAGCCACACUGGGACUGAGACACGGCCCAGACUCCUACGGGAGGCAGCAGUGGGGAAUUUUGGACAAUGGGCGCAAGCCUGAUCCAGCAAUGCCGCGUGCGGGAAGAAGGCCUUCGGGUUGUAAACCGCUUUUGGCAGGAACGAAACGGUGUCCGCUAAUACCGGGCGCUAAUGACGGUACCUGCAGAAUAAGCACCGGCUAACUACGUG
rnacentral:rRNA from 1 species